UACAGAGGUCUCAAGCGUUUGUUCGGAUUCAUUGGGCGUAAAGGGUGCGUAGGCGGCGCGGUAAGUCGGGGUGUGAAAUCUCGGAGCUUAACUCCGAAACUGCAUUCGAUACUGCCGUGCUUGAGGACUGGAGAGGAGACUGGAAUUUACGGUGUAGCGGUGAAAUGCGUAGAUAUCGUAAGGAAGACCAGUGGCGAAGGCGGGUCUCUGGACAGUUCCUGACGCUGAGGCACGAAGGUCAGGGGGAGCAAACGGGG
rnacentral:rRNA from 1 species